UAAAGAGAGGUACAGACCCACUGUAGCACUCCACUCACUGACACAAAAAAAACAGUUUGAGAUGGAUUUUAACUUGUUUGGACUCUUUAGAAGAGAACCAGACGUUAUCAAAAUUGGGUAUUCUGAUUCUAAUUUAAGUUCUGUCCUAGUAAGCAAUCAUUGUAAAGUUAAUGGUUAACAGAGGUUUCUUUGAGGUGAAUGAUGAGGAAAAAAGGUUGUUUUACUAUUGUCAAUGCCUGGGGUGUUUCAAGAUAACAACAGUGUCCCUUAGUGAUAAGGUGACAAUCCUCCAAGACCAGGGUCUGUUAUCCUUAGGUUAGUAAACCACCCCCCACUCCAGGGAGAGCCCUGUGGUGAUAAAGGAGUAAAAAGGGGGGGUCAUGAUUUAUGACAGGAUUUCAGAGUGUCUUUGAUGUGCUAGGAUAAUAAGAAGAGACUUGGAGAAGUUCACACUAAGUUUCAUCUUGUAGAGAAAUUAGGCUAAAUAACAGUUAUGUUAGCUGGUGUGAAAUGUUUGAUUUGAAAUGAGGUAUUUGAUCCUAUAUGUGAAACAAUGGGUGAAUUUGAUUGUAGUUCCGAUACAACACAAUCAGAUGUAAAUUAUAUAGGUGAACUGAGAAUUGUUCAUGAACUGCUCUUAGAGAGUGGUACUUCAAUGUAAGUUAACUAUCUUAACUGAUGAGU
ensembl:lncRNA